GUGGGGAAUAUUGGACAAUGGGCGAAAGCCUGAUCCAGCCAUGCCGCGUGAGUGAUGAAGGCCUUCGGGUCGUAAAGCUCUGUCGCAGGGGAAUAACACAAUGAAGGUACCCUGUAAGAAAGGAUCGGCUAACUUCGUGCCAGCAGCCGCGGUAAGACGAGGGAUCCUAGCGUUGUUCGGAAUCAUUGGGCGUAAAGCGGAUGUAGGUGGCUAUGUAAGUCAGAUGUGAAAGCCUGGGGCUCAACCCCAGAAGUGCAUUUGAUACUGCGUAGCUUGAGUGUCGGAGAGGUUACUAGAAUUGUUGGUGUAGUGGUGAAAUACGUAGAUAUCAACAGGAAUACCGGAGGCGAAGGCGGGUAACUGGCCGAACACUGACACUGAGAUCCGAAAGCGUGGGGAUCAAACAGGAUUAGAUACCCGGGUAGUCC
rnacentral:rRNA from 1 species